GGCCCGGCCCGGCCCGGGGGAAGGGCUGCGUGGGCCUGUGGUCAGUGCCUCUCCUUGGCGUGUGCUUCCCGGGCCUCUGCCGUCCCUUUGAAAUGCAAAGCCUGGCGUAGAGCAUCAGCUCGUUUGUUGUUUCUAGUGGCCGCGUUACGAAUGCCGGUGCUCCACGCUGAUGAUAGAAAAGCUCCACUGAGGUAGGCUGCUCUUGAAAUACCUGCCUUGACAGUUGGACUCCUUGAAGUGUCUUACUGGAUCCUGUGUUUUUAAAGCAAGUCAGGCCAUUCUUACAAAGGACUUCAACCUUCAUGUUGCUUGUGUACCUGCAAUCCUUCAUGUUCCACCUUUAAACUACACUAGUGCAGUGUGCAGCAUGUGUCAUGUCCCAUGGAGCAAAGAAAAAGCCAAGGAAGUGCCUGUUUAAGGAGGUCACGGAAUCAAAAAGAAACUUGGAACCAAAAAGAAUCGUCAAAUGGCUAAGUGGUAAUACUUCAGGAAUUUAAGCAGCAAAAGCCAGAACAAGACAGGCUUACACAGUAAAAUGCCAUCCUUUUACCUUGGGGUGUUUGCAGAAACCUCCUUAGCACAAACUCGUUACAGAUUUGGUAGGUAAAGAGUCCUUUCUAGGGAAAACCAGUCCUGCCUACAGGACUACCGGAGCUGAGUGUGACUUUAAAUGAACCACUUUUCUUUCAGCCAGACUGUGAGAGGCUGUUUCAUGCAGAGAGACCACAGACACUCUAUCCUGUCCCCCAGGCAGCAAGAAGCCAAAAGGAGCAAAUCUGCAGUGCUGCAACAAUGUGUGUUUCAGGUCACAGGCUGCUUCUGUGAGCACAGAUCUGACACCACAGACCAGUUUGGCAGUGGUUCUUUUUGUUUGGCUUCAUGUCCUGACUGACCCACUUGACACAUUUUUAGUAGCAGCUAUUUGUAACAGUAACAGGGUUUGGAGUUCAACUGGCAUCCUGGUUCUCUACUACAUAAAGCGAGAACAGCCUAAUAGAAGGCUGAGUCAUAUGCUGUAAUAGAGUACUAUGUAGAACUGUACCUAAACUACAGCUACCUAAAUUAGUUUUUGAAUACAUGAGUGCAGCUAUGAUAUGUGAUUAUUGUUUGUGAAGCAAAUAGUCUUAUAAUUAUGUGAUAAAUACCAAGUAUAAUAUGAUGCACCAGGAAAGUGAAGCACAGUGAAAUUACAAAACCAGGAUAGUCUGUGCUUUUGAGCUGUAUUUCCUGUUUCAGUACCAAAAAUGCACUAGACAAGAAGGUAGAUGGAACUUGUAGAACCAGUGGAAAAUAAUGGGAUGAUGAAUUGAGAUCUCUAUUUCAAAUUCAACCUCUCCUACCUUAAAAUUAGGUGUGCAAAAUUUAAUACUAUGCAGUUUUCAGUUUUUGAUGUUUUAGCAUAACAAUGUAUGAAAAAAAACAUAGCAGAACUUAACUGAGGUCCUGAAAAACCUCCUGCUUUGUGCUUAUCAGAUCCAACUGGGAAAACAUCUUAUAUAGAGCUGGAGGGGUUUCCUUUUAACUGCAGCUUUCAUUUGAGAAAAGGUAAUGGGUAAUGAAUACAGGAAUAUUACCAAUAGAAUAAAUAAUUCAGGCCAUUCAGAACAAUGAGAAGGGAACUGUUGCUGAAAUGUGGUUUGUUAAGAUUUUUCACAACAGCCCAACUGCUAAUAGUGAUAGGUAUUCAGUUCUGAGGUUAAGUUUUUAAAAAUGUCCUAUUGUUUACUGGAUGUCUUUUUUUGAUAUUAAAAUGAUAGCUAAAUUGAGGUUAUGGCUAAUGAACUUGCAGUGAAAAAAAACCUCACUACUUUCACUUAAUAGCACAAAUUUAGAUUAUCCCAGAAACAUGAUUAAAGAGGGAUUACGUUAGAGAAACUAUUUUAGCCACUUUAUUUGGGACACUAAAAAUCACCCAGAAGUUUUGGUUAUUAAUUCUAAUACACAGCCUCCAAACAUGUGACUGAAAUGAACAUUGUUCUCUUUGCUGUCAGGAGGCAUGAAAUUCAAGGAGCUGGUUCUGUUUUGGAAGCAGACCUUAAUUUUUUGCAAUGUACCUUAAUGUAAUGCAAUGUACCUUUGCAAUGGACUUUAAAUGGUUCCAUGUGUCACAUAUUUAAAUUUAUCUGUCUCUUCCAUGCAACUAUUUGAUUUGCACUAAUCUGAAAUUUUCAGAUGUGUUUCUUGGAGGAUGAAGCUCAUUGCUUCUCUUCCAGGACUGCCUUUCUGCAAUGCACUACUGCUAGAUUAUUUUUUAGCAUGACCUUGAUCUACUUGCAAAAAGAUGGAAUUUCAAUCUUAUUGUUCCAAGCUUUUAGAAUUAACUAUGCACAAUUCAGUAAGUGGCAGGAUCCCAUUUAGGCUGUUGCCUAAAAGAAGAAAUGGAAGAUACUUUUCUCUAUUUACUUAAUUGUUAAUUUUUUUUUAUUUCAAGUAAAUUGUUUCAUUUCUUGUUUUUGUUUAUUUUAAAAUUACCAGAAAUACUGUAGUAAUUUGUUUCAUAUAAAUGCAUAUAACUAUUCUCCUUAUGAACAAAAGCUAGCUUUGGGAAAAUAUAUCUGGAAUGAGGACAAUAUCACUACUUCUACCAACUUAGCUUAGUAUCUCCCUAUUGCAGAUCUUGAAAAAGUGUAGCCACUAUAUGUUUCAGAAAAAAAAAUAAUUAAUUUAUUAGACAAUAUGAACAUAUUUUCAUACUUGUAUUUGAAUUGCAAGGAACUAACAAGCAUAUAUUCUUUGCUCAGCCUGGCUAAACUUUUAGAAAUGUACUACCUAAUUUGAAAUCCAGAAAUUGCUCAGUGUACACAGAAGUGUAUGCCAAAUGAUGAUGCUUUUGGAAACAAUUUUGGAGCAAAACAGCUAUAAAAAAACCAGAACAUUAAAAAGAAAAAAAAAAUAAUAAUAAAGCUGUUCCUGAGAGAGCUGUAAUUUUGGUUUCAUUGAUUACGGAACAGACUUGGCACUAGCAAAAGGACAUGAAAACUGAAGAGAGAUACUAUUUUUAAAAUUAAGGCGUAUUUGCAGAUUCCCUUUGCUGUAACUGACCAUCUGUCUGAGGACUUGUUGGAAUAUGCUGUCAUGGUACACUUCAGAACCCUUGGAAACAAGAGGAGGAAAGGCAAGCCAAUGUUGUGAGGUGCCUCAGGGAGGCAAAGAAUUAGUUUUAGAUAAUCAUUGUUAAAGUGAGAGGCAUGGCUGUAAGCCCGGCUAGUGUGAAUUUUGAUGACCUGCUUUGGGGGAUGGGCCAUGUGAAGCCUGGAUGAAGUUGCCCCACCCCAGACCCCUUGUGAGGGGCAGCCCAGGAAUUCUGAUUGUGUUUGAGACCCUGGGGUUUCUUCCUUGUUGUGUUCCUACUGGUCCCUGACCCUGAACUCUACCCUAGUUCUGUCCAUCAAAAGCCAUCUCUCUGCCUUUGUUCAGAGCUCUCUGUCUCUGAAUCUGAGUUUGUUCCCAUGCUGAAUAAAUGAUUUCAUGAACAGAAGCCCGUCUCGUUAAUAUCCCAUGCUGGUUCCUAGUAACUGUAGCUUCUCUGGACAUGAUCCUGUAGUUGUGGACUGCAGCAGCCAAUACAGUGGAAAGCAUUCUAGUCCCAGGAUAAAGGGAAAACAGAAAAUAGAGGAGUCAAUUUGUUACACUACUAGUAUGAAAUCUGUCAUUUCUGUGGAGUUCUAGGCUGCAUUUCACAAAAGUAGUUAAGGGAAGUAGUAGUAACUACAGAA